rnacentral:rRNA from 1 species
ACCAACGUUCAUACCGCGCUGAGUACACUCGUUCUCGUCCGAUCACGAAAGUUAAGCAGCGCUGGGCACGGAUAGUACUUAGAUGGGUAUCCGCUUAGGAACUCCGUGUGAUGAGGGAG